rnacentral:rRNA from 1 species
AUUGAACGCUGGCGGAAUGCUUUACACAUGCAAGUCGAGCGGCAGCGCGGGGCAACCUGGCGGCGAGCGGCGAACGGGUGAGUAAUGUAUCGGAACGUGUCCUGUCGUGGGGGAUAGCCCGGUGAAAACCGGAUUAAUACCGCAUACGAUCGAGAGAUGAAAGUGGGGGACCGCAAGGCCUCACGCGAUAGGAGCGGCCGAUAUCUGAUUAGCUAGUUGGUGGGGUAAAGGCCCACCAAGGCUUCGAUCAGUAGCUGGUCUGAGAGGAUGAUCAGCCAGACUGGGACUGAGACACGACCCAGACUCCUACGGGAGGCAGCAGUGGGGAAUUUUGGACAAUGGGGGCAACCCUGAUCCAGCCAUUCCGCGUGAGGGAAGAAGGCCUUCGGGUUGUAAAGCUCUUUUGUCCGGGAAGAAACGGUUUUGGCUAAUAACCAAGACUACUGACGGUACCGGAAGAAUAAGGACCGGCUAACUACGUGCCAGCCGCCGCAGUAAGAC